rnacentral:rRNA from 1 species
AGCGAACGCUGGCGGCAGGCUUAACACAUGCAAGUCGAGGGGAGCGGCAGACGGGUGAGUAACGCGUGGGAACGUACCUUUUGGUUCGGAACAACACAGGGAAACUUGUGCUAAUACCGGAUACCGGAAGAUCGGCCCGCGUGGGAUUAGCUAGUUGGGAGGGUAAUGGCCUACCAAGGCGACGAGCAGUAGCUGGUCUGAGAGGAUGAUCCGACACAUUGGGACUGAGACACGGUCCAAACUCUUACGGGAGGCAGCAGUGGGGAAUAUAGGAAAAUGGGGUCAACCAUGAUCCAGCCAUGACGGGUGAGUGAUGAAGGUUGUAGGGAUGUAAAGCUCUUUUGUGCGGGAAGCGGUACCGACAGAAUAAGCCCCGGCUAACUUCGUGCCAGCAGCCGCGGUAAUAC